GAUGAACGCUGGCGGCGUGCCUAAUACAUGCAAGUCGAGCGAAUGGAUUAAGAGCUUGCUCUUAUGAAGUUAGCGGCGGACGGGUGAGUAACACGUGGGUAACCUGCCCAUAAGACUGGGAUAACUCCGGGAAACCGGGGCUAAUACCGGAUAACAUUUUGAACCGCAUGGUUCGAAAUUGAAAGGCGGCUUCGGCUGUCACUUAUGGAUGGACCCGCGUCGCAUUAGCUAGUUGGUGAGGUAACGGCUCACCAAGGCAACGAUGCGUAGCCGACCUGGGAGGGUGAUCGGCCACACGGGGACUGAGACAAGGCCCAGAAUCCUACGGGAGGCAGCAGUAGGGAAGCUUCCGCAAUGGACGAAAGUCUGACGGAGCAACGCCGCGUGAGUGAUGAAGGCUUUCGGGUCGUAAAACGCUGUUGUUAGGGAAGAACAAGUGCUAGUUGAAUAAGCUGGCACCUUGACGGUACCUAACCAGAAAGCCACGGCUAACUACGUGCCAGCCGCCGCGGUAA
rnacentral:rRNA from 1 species